AUUUAAUAGGUCCACCAAGGGUUAUUCAGGAGAAUAUACUUGAUUUGACUCACCGUUUCCUAUUGAUUAAACGCCUCAAAUUUAGUGAAAUUACAUGUUAACUUACACAUUUUUGUUCAGUAGAGAUGCAAAUAAUUUCUGUCUUAUAGAAAAGACAGCCCCGAAGUUUACAGUUGAUUGCCAUAUAGGACAAGAACCACUGGAAUAUCCAAUCCAACAUCUUACUGUUUUAAUUUUUUUUGAAAAUUAUGCUUUCCUACACUGAAGGAUACAAGCCAAAUUUAUGAUAAUGGUUGUCUCUCUAGCAAGGGAGAGGCAUAGGACUCAGGUAGGAUACAUAGGGAUUUCAAUGACUUGUAAUGUGUUAUCUAUCUGAUUAAAUAUUUAUGUAGGGCCGGGCACAGUGGCUCAGCCUGUAAUCCCAGCACUUUGAGAGGCUGAGUCAGGUGGAUCACCUGAGGUCAGGAGUUCAAGACCAGCCUGGCCAACAUGGUGAAACCCCAUCUCUACUAAAAAUACAAAAAUUAGCUGGGUGUGGUGGUUCCUGCCUGUAAUCCCAGCUACUCAGGAGGCUGAGGCAUGAGAAUAGCUUGCACCCAGGAGGAGGAGGUUGCAGUGAGCUGAGAUAGCGCCACUGCACUCUGGGCGACAGAGUGAGACUCCAUGUCAAAAAAAAAAAAAAAAAAAAAAGCAUGUGGCACCUCUAUUCCUCCUGCUUCAGCACCUCUCUCCCUCCUGCUUCAGCUAUGUAAGACAACCCUGCUUCCCCUUCACCUUCUGCCAUGAUUGAAAGUUUCCUGAGGCCUUCUCAGCCAUGCUACCUGUACAGCCUUCCGAACUCUCUGCCUCUCCUUUUCUGUGAUCUCCCUGCUUCGUGUUGGACCAGCAGAUUUCUAAGGCCCUUGGCUGUUUUGAUGUCAUCACCAUUAUUAGCAGCAGCGUCAAACCACCUGGAUAAAGCUGUAACCCAUAAUAUGCACUAAUCACCAGCCAGCAUUUGUAUGCAUGAUCUCUUAUUUUCAUAACGACCCACAAUGUAUAUAUUAUUAUACUCAAUCUACAAAGGAGAGAGCUGAAGCUCAGGAAAGGUAAGUGACAAGGCCCCAGAGAAAUCCCAUAUUGAGAUUUGAGUCCAAAUCACUUCGGUUCUAAAUUUGAUCUUCCUUUCAUUAGGCUACACUGCCUCUCUGGUAGUCCAAGGCUCACAGAAAGCGGGAAUGGACAGGGACUGGGAAAGGCUUCUUGGCCGCUCACCUGAGAAGGCCUGGCUUCCCACGCAUUGGCAUACGUGCCUCCCAGGAACGGUCCCUCUCUCGGACAGCAGGACAUCAAGUUCGGAUAGGCGACCCACAGGGCUUUGGCUGCCAGGUAGGCUUGGUAAAUUGCAGUUAGAUCCGGAAGUUUGAAGG
rnacentral:lncRNA from 1 species